UAUGAGAAAGAAGAGCAACAGUAAACCCUUUUUCUCCCUCCCCUCAUCUCCCCUACCCUCCUCUCUGCGAUUACCCGACAGUCAAUCGAAGAAAGCGGCAUCGGGCGUCCGCGUCAUUCUCAGACGAUGGCUAUAUUACUGGGCGAUGACGGUAAGGGCUACGAUCUUGCUCGGAGGCUGGAGAGCUGCGGCGCAUGGCGUGCUUGGCUGGGCGACGCAGCCUAUGCUGCUUUUUCUCACUCUCUCUCUUCUGCUGCGGCCUGGGAUGCCUUCUUGACUCCUUCUCCUUCUGGAACACGUGCUCAGCUUCAGCUACAACUCCGUGCACGCGCUCUCCUGUUUGAUAAAGCCUCUGCCUCGCUCUACCUCAGGCCGUCCACGGCCGUCGCGGGGACGCAGAUCUCCAAUCUCAAUCCUUCCUAUUUUCAGGUUCAUGAAGAUGAGAUUUAUUACUCUUUGGAAGAUGAACAACAUGAUGGAUUUCAACCCCAAACUCCUUCGAGGCCAGUGUACAGCCCUCACAGAGCAAGUCAACAUUCUUUUGAACGAGCAUCUAGUGUUGGAUCCAGAUACAAUGAUCCUGAACAUGUAAAUACCUCUAAAUAUGAAGAUUUGCCUAAUAAAUGCUAUAACCAAUAUGUUGAAAGAUACAGAAUAAAGCAUCAGAAGUUGCCACAUGGUGACAAAGAGUCACACAAUAGAACAUCUGAGGGAAUGUCUGUAUACUUCAAACUUCGUGAUUUACAUAAGAGAAAGAGGCAAAUUUUUAAGGACAAUCCUUUAGCUACUUUGGACACUGGAUCUUCCUUGCAUUUGAAAGGUAUUUCAGAGGGGAAUAACGCAAGUGAAGACGAUAUUUCAUUCUUUCCUGAGAUCAUGUUUCCAGCUAAUUGUGUGCCUGAAAGUGCUCUCCCAGUGGUAAUCACAGAAAAGAAAGAAAAGGUUGAAGUUUACGGGGUACUUGAUAAUUUACCCACACUUACAAGCCCAAGUCCAGCGAUGAUGGAAAGAUUUGGCAUAAGGCCAGAGUAUGUUAAGAUGGGAAACAAAUAUAGGGGAAAGGAUGGAUCUGGAGGGGAUAGAAGAUCUCUUAGUCAGGAACAAGCAUCCCAAAUAGCUCACAAGGCAGCAGCUCGUUUGCUAAUAAGCGUAGGGUUUGAAGGUGGAACUGAAAUUUCAAUGAAAGUCUUCUCUGAAUUUUUUAGUAGCCAUAUCAGUAAAUUAGGACGCAACUUAAAGCUUCUAACUGAUAGCUACAAAAAGCAAGUUUCAUCAAUAGAACUUCUCAAAAUGUUUCUGCAAAUCUCAGGUCAUGGAAAUCUUGGGGCCUUGACAGAAAUUACUAAGAAUGGUAACAAGGCUGGCUUCACUCAACAGACACAGCAAACUGUUCGUCAACUCCAGACACCUCAACAAAACCCUCUCCUACAAGCUCAACAACUUCAAAGGCAAAUGCAUUCCCAAAUGAAUAUGCUUCACCCACAAAAUAUAGCAUUUCAACAACAACAACAACAACAACAACAAUGGGAUAAAUUGAGGCGUCAGCAAGUAUCCACGCCUCGUUCCAUGAUGAUUAUGGACAAAGAUCAGCCUAUGGCAGAUGUCAAAAUUGAGAACAUAAUGGAAGGACCUAUCGAUACAAACACUUUCAAUGCUCUCAGUAAACAACAGAUGCAAUUGAGGCAACAGCAGAUGGCUAUGGCAAAUCACCCUACACAAUCUGGACAACAUUUCAAACAACUUCAGUCCAUUCAGAUUCCUCAACUUCAAGCACAGUUGGCUCAGAAUGCAUUUAAUAUGAGAACUGCUCCAGUUAAAGUAGAAGCUUUCCAUGAACUGAUGGGUGGGGAUUCAACACUGAAGCAAGAACCAGAUCAGAAUAAACUCACCUCUCCAGCAAAGUAAGGUGGUUGAAGCAUGAUUUAUUAGUCAGCAGAAUCAAUACUUUCUUUUAUGUAAAUUAUGCAUUCAGGUGAUUAAGGUAGACACGAUGAAGAGUCUAUUGUUUCAUCACCCUGGUCGUAUCAACAAGGCCAAGUCCACCAACAUCAGAGGGCAAUAAGCCACAAUAUGAUCCGAAGGCCGCUGCUAUCGAUCAAACUGGAUAUGCUGUUUCCGAGAUAGAUAGCUGAUGAUUUCUUGCAAUCUGAUGUUAUUUUGGGGGAGAAGAAGAUAGAGGUGAGUUUAUUUGCUUUCCUUUCCUUUUUAAUUGUUUCGUCAUCUGAGCUGUAGUUAUCUUGCCUUUAGAGUUUCCAUACUAGAUUGUUUCAUCAUCUGAGCUGCAGUUAUCUUAUCUUUAAUGUUUCCAUACAAGAUUGUUUGCUGUAUUUUUUUUAGCUUUGUUCUGGUUCAUGGAGGUUUCAUUGUCAGGGGUUUGUGAAGAGAUGAUAUGUGCGUUUUCACAGCUUAUGCAUAUUAUAGUUCUUGUUGGUGCUUCAUAUGUUGAAAAUAUUCGAAGGAGCCAUUCAUUCAUUUUCUUUUGUCUCUAGGUCUGAGUCACGCAUUUCUGAAUCAAUUAAACCAAUUUUAAAGUUGAACAGGCAUUUGAAAGGAAUCAUGCCAAUCUUCACGAAUAAAUUGGGAUCUGUGUUUUAAGUGCAUCUCAUAUUUGGCCAUCUAUGACCAUAUUAUAGUUGGAAAAAAAUAGUUUAUUGAUUUUACCAUGGGAUUUUAAGAUUAGAAUGAUAGAUUACAGCUAUUUGUAUCUCAUAGUUGAUUGCUGUACUUUAAUGUGGGAAAUACUUUCCGAUGAAAGCAAUUUUUACAUAAAAACUUGGUUUGAUUAUUUAUAAAAAUUGGAAAGAUUUCUUAUAUGAGCUGAUUAAUGAACAAAGUAAUAUUGUGUUCUAAUUUAUAAAAAUUGGAAAGAUUUCUUAUAACAGCUUUAAAUGAAGUAAAUUUCUUGAAUUCAUAAAUUCAAUUUAGUACACAGCUCAUCUUGGCCUGUUGGUUGAGAGCAUAGGCUUCCAACUAAGAGAUCUUGAGUUCGAGUCUUUGUGCAUGUGUUGUGUGUACGACUUUUGCUUAUAUAGUUAGAUAUGCUCACUUUUGAUUGCUUUUGGAACCAAACUACUAAUAAGCCUCCAGCCCAACACUUACGAUUAGCAUAUUGAAGGGCCGAAAGAGUAGUUUGGUGGAGUAGCAUAUUGAAGGGCCAGAUAUUUAUGGUGUCUUCCAGUUUAAGGUAGAGUAUCAGAAACUUGGUUACAUAAGCUAAAUUUGAUUAUGCUGAAUUUUUUGGCAAUUAAAUUUAUUUUAAAUUAGUAUAAUAUUCGAGCUUGCUAAUUCAGUAUGUAUUAUGUUUAUCUUAAAAUAUAUUUAAUGGCCGAAAAAUCUAUCGUGAUCAAAUUUAGGUCUUGUAUCCGAUCCUUUUAAAGUUUCAGUUUAAUAAAUUUUUCUUCAAUAAAACUUUGGCUUUCAGAUGAAUAUGAGAGAUCUAUCCCAGCUACCUGUCCCUACUACGGAGCCUCAGUAUACUUUCAACUCAAAUUGAUUGCACUUUUUGCCCAAGUGGAAAAUGUGUCAAAAGGUAGCUUUCCAAUAUAGCAUUAGAUGAAGAGCGGUUGAGCAGCUCUUAACUUGAGGAGCUCUUUUUAUUUUGUGUUGAAAAUGUUUCUCAAGGAACUUUCAAGAA